GCUUGUCUCAAAGAUUAAGCCAUGCAUGUCUAAGUAUAAGUAUUAUACAGCGAAACUGCGAAUGGCUCAUUAAAACAGUUAUGGUUUAUUUGAUAAUCGAAUUUUACAUGGAUAACCGUGGUAAUUCUAGAGCUAAUACAUGCUGGUGUGCCUGACUUUUCGGAAGGGCGGUAUUUAUUAGAUAACGAACCAAUAUUCCUUGUGUCUAUUGCGAUGAUUCAUAAUAACUGAUCGAAUCUCAAAUUUGAGAUAAAUCAUUCAAGUUUCUGCCCUAUCAGCUUUCGAUGGUAGUGUAUUGGACUACCAUGGCAGUAACGGGUAACGAAGAAUUAGGGUUCGAUUUCGGAGAGGGAGCAUGAGAAACGGCUACCACAUCUAAGGAAGGCAGCAGG
rnacentral:rRNA from 1 species